rnacentral:lncRNA from 1 species
UGAGUUUCAAAUAAAUUCAAAAAUAAUAAAUUAACAAAAAAAAAUAUUUAAAUAAAAAUGAGAAAAUAAAUAAUUCUUCAAAAAAUCUUCUUUUUUUAAAAAGAGUUUUUUUUCUUAAACUAAAAACAUUCAAAUAAGUUUUAUAAAUUGUCUGAAAACAUUCGGAUUGGUUGUUUUCGGAUUUGGGUUUUUAGAUCUUAGACAUUUAGAAAUAACUAGAUAUUUGAAAUUUUUUGGUUCGGGUUCGGGUUCGGGUUCGGAUUGGUUUUUUUCUGGAUUUAGGUAGGUUCGAAAUUUUUUGAAUCUUAGAAAUUUAAAUCUAACUAGAUACUUGUAAUUUUCGGAUCUAUAGCAAGUGGGUCAGAU